rnacentral:tRNA from 1 species
GAACUAUGUUUGGAACUUUGAAAGUUCCGUUGGAGACUUGUUUCUCGUGGUUUU